rnacentral:rRNA from 1 species
GGCGAACGGGUGAGUAACACGUGACCAACCUGUCUUCAGGCGGGGGACAACCUGGGGAAACCCGGGCUAAUACCGCAUGACGUCUUUUCUUCACAUGAAGGAUAGAUCAAAGGGAGCCUCUGCUUGCAAGCUUCCACCUGAAGAGGGGGUCGCGGCGUAUCAGCUUGUUGGUGAGGUAACGGCUCACCAAGGCUACGACGCGUAGCGGGUCUGAGAGGACGAUCCGUCACAUUGGGACUGAGAUACGGCCCAGACUCCUACGGGAGGCAGCAGUGGGGAAUAUUGCGCAAUGGGCGAAAGCCUGACGCAGCGACGCCGCGUGUGGGAGGAAGCCUUUCGGGGUGUAAACCACUGUCAGGGGGGAAGAAACUUGGGCGGCCGAAUAGGCCGUUCAAUUGACGGUACCCCCAAAGGAAGCGCCGGCUAACUCCGUGCCAGCAGCCGCGGUAAGACGGAGGGCGCAAGCGUUGUUCGGAAUUACUG